ACAAGCAGCGGAGCAUGUGGUUUAAUUCGAAGCAACGCGAAGAACCUUACCAGGGCUUGACAUGCCGCUGACCGGUUUAGAGAUAGAUCUUUACCCUUCGGGGUACAGCGGACACAGGUGGUGCAUGGUUGUCGUCAGCUCGUGUCGUGAGAUGUUGGGUUAAGUCCCGCAACGAGCGCAACCCUUGUCUUUAGUUGCCAUCAUUAAGUUGGGCACUCUAAAGAGACUGCCGAUGACAAAUCGGAGGAAGGUGGGGAUGACGUCAAAUCAUCAUGCCCUUUAUGUCCUGGGCUACACACGUGCUACAAUGGUCGGUACAACGAGAAGCAAGUCAGCGAUGGCAAGCAAAUCUCUAAAAGCCGAUCCCAGUUCGGAUUGCAGGCUGCAACUCGCCUGCAUGAAGUCGGAGUUGCUAGUAAUCGCGGAUCAGAAUGCCGCGGUGAAUGCGUUCCCGGGUCUU
rnacentral:rRNA from 2 species